UACGUAGGGUGCAAGCGUUAUCCGGAAUUAUUGGGCGUAAAGAGCUCGUAGGCGGUUUGUCGCGUCCGCUGUGAAAACUGGAGGCUCAACCUCCAGCCUGCAGUGGGUACGGGCAGACUAGAGUGCGGUAGGGGAGAUUGGAAUUCCUGGUGUAGCGGUGGAAUGCGCAGAUAUCAGGAGGAACACCGAUGGCGAAGGCAGAUCUCUGGGCCGUAACUGACGCUGAGGAGCGAAAGCGUGGGGAGCGAACAGG
rnacentral:rRNA from 1 species